rnacentral:misc_RNA from 1 species
UUUGAGUUUCCUAUCGGAGC